UAAAUAGCUUAAAGUUUAGAGUAUAAUAUUGAAGAUAUUAGGGUGAUUAAUUAAUCUUUAGAUANUAUAUAUAUAUAUAUAU
rnacentral:tRNA from 1 species